rnacentral:misc_RNA from 1 species
UUUAAUGCCAUUUUCAAGCUUACUAAAUUUUAAUAAAGUCGCUAAAAAUAUGGCUAUAUUUAGUUUGCUGCCAAAAUUUGGUAACUAUAUAAGAAAUUCUACCAAAAUUUUGGCAUAGUUACCAAAAUUUUGGCAACAAAAUUUUAGCAGGAUUUCUUAUAUAGUUUCCAAAAUUUGGCAGCAAACUAAAUGUAGCUACUUUUUUUUUGACAACUUUACCAAAAUUUAGUAAGGUUGAAA